rnacentral:rRNA from 1 species
AGUGGCGAACGGGUGAGUAAAGUAUCGGAACGUGCCCAGUCGUGGGGGAUAACGUAGCGAAAGUUACGCUAAUACCGCAUACGAUCUAUGGAUGAAAGCGGGGGAUCGCAAGACCUCGCGCGAUUGGAGCGGCCGAUAUCAUAUUAGGUAGUUGGUGGGGUAAAGGCUCACCAAGCCGACGAUCUGUAGCUGGUCUGAGAGGACCACCACCCACACUGGGACUGAGACACGGCCCACACUCCUACGGGAGGCAGCAGUGGGGAAUUUUGGACAAUGGGCGCAAGCCUGAUCCAGCCAUGCCGCGUGCAGGAUGAAGGCCUUCGGGUUGUAAACUGCUUUUGUACGGAACGAAAAGGUUUGGCCUAAUAAGCUGAGCUCAUGACGGUACCGUAAGAAUAAGCACCGGCUAACUACGUGCCAGCAGCCGCGGUAAUACGUAGGGUGCGAGCGUUAAUCAGAAUUACUGGGCGUAAAGCGUGCGCAGGCGGUUAUAUAAGACAGAUGUGAAAUCCCCGGGCUCAACCUGGGAACUGCAUUAGUGACUGCAUAGCUGGAGUACGGCAGAGGGGGGAUGGAAUUCCGCGUGUAGCAGUGAAAUGCGUAGAUAUGCGGAGGAACACCGAUGGCGAAGGCCCUCCCCUGGGUCUGUACUGACCCUCAUGCACGAAAGCGUGGA